GAUGAACGCUGGCGGCGUGCCUAAUACAUGCAAGUCGAGCGAACAGACGAGGAGCUUGCUCCUCUGACGUUAGCGGCGGACGGGUGAGUAACACGUGGAUAACCUACCUAUAAGACUGGGAUAACUUCGGGAAACCGGAGCUAAUACCGGAUAAUCUAUUGAACCGCAUGGUUCAAUAGUGAAAGACGGUUUUGCUGUCACUUAUAGAUGGAUCCGCGCCGCAUUAGCUAGUUGGUAAGGUAACGGCUUACCAAGGCAACGAUGCGUAGCCGACCUGAGAGGGUGAUCGGCGACACUGGAGCUGAGACGCGGACCAGGCUCCUGCGGGAGGCAGCAGUAGGGAAUCGGCCGCAAUGGGCGAAAGCUUGACGGAGCAACGCCGCGUGAGUGAUGAAGGUCUUCGGAUCGUAAAACUCUGUUAUUAGGGAAGAACAAAUGUGUAAGUAACUAUGCACGUCUUGACGGUACCUAAUCAGAAAGCCACGGCUAACUACGUG
rnacentral:rRNA from 1 species